rnacentral:rRNA from 1 species
GGGGAUAACACCUGGAAACAGGUGCUAAGACCGCAUAAGCGCACAGUCUCGCAUGGGACAGUGUGAAAAACUCCGGUGGUACAAGAUGGAUCCGCGUCUGAUUAGCCAGUUGGCGGGGUAACGGCCCACCAAAGCGACGAUCAGUAGCCGGCCUGAGAGGGUGAACGGCCACAUUGGGACUGAGACACGGCCCAAACUCCUACGGGAGGCAGCAGUGGGGAAUAUUGCACAAUGGGGGAAACCCUGAUGCAGCAACGCCGCGUGAGUGAAGAAGUAAUUCGUUAUGUAAAGCUCUAUCAGCAGGGAAGAAAAUGACGGUACCUGAGUAAGCAGCCCCGGCUAACUACGUGCCAGCAGCCGCGGUAAUACGUAGGGGGCAAGCGUUAUCCGGAUUUACUGGGUGUAAAGGGAGCGUAGACGGUAAAGCAAGUCUGAAGUGAAAUGCCAGUGCUCAACACUGGAACUGCUUUGGAAACUGUUUGGCUGGAGUGCAGGAGAGGUAAGUGGAAUUCCUAGUGUAGCGGUGAAAUGCGUAGAUAUUAGGAGGAACACCAGUGGCGAAGGCGGCUUACUGGACUGUAACUGACGUUGAGGCUCGAAAGCGUGGGGAGCAAACAGGAUUAGAUACCCUGGUAGUCCACGCGGUAAACG